rnacentral:rRNA from 1 species
UAAGCGGAGGAAANGAAACUANCAAGGAUUCCCCUAGUANCUGCGAGUGAAGCGGGAAAAGCUCAAAUUUAAAAUCUGGUGGUCUUUGGCCAUUCGAGUUGUAAUUUAGAGAAGCGUCUUNCGCGCUGGACCGUGCACAAGUCUCCUGGAAUGGAGCGUCAUAGAGGGUGAGAAUCCCGUCUUUGGCACGGACACACCAGGGCUUUUGUGAUGCGCUCUCGAAGAGUCGAGUUGUUUGGGAAUGCAGCUCAAAAUGGGUGGUGAACUCCAUCUAAAGCUAAAUAUUGGCGAGAGACCGAUAGCGAACAAGUACCGUGAGGGAAAGAUGAAAAGCACUUUGGAAAGAGAGUGAAACAGUACGUGAAAUUGUUGAAAGGGAAACGCUUGAAGUCAGUCACGUCGACCGAGACUCAGCCUUGCCUUGGCUUGGUGUACUUCUCGGCUGACGGGUCAGCAUCAAUUUUGCCCCUUGGAUAAUGGCGAGGGAAAUGUGACACCUUUACGGUGUGUUAUAGUCUCUCGUCGCAUGCAAGGGUUGGGAUUGAGGAACUCAGCACGCGCCUUUGGGUGUCGGGGCUUUGCCCACGAUACGUGCUUAGGAUGUUGGCAUAAUGGCUUUAAACGACC